rnacentral:tRNA from 1 species
GUUUGGCUAUUGGAGACGACCGUCCGAUACUCCUGCGCUUUUCUGUUAAGGAAGAGGUCCCAGGUUCGAGUCCUGGAUCGCCCA